AUUGAACGCUGGCGGCAGGCCUAACACAUGCAAGUCGAGCGGUAGCACAGAGAGCUUGCUCUCGGGUGACGAGCGGCGGACGGGUGAGUAAUGUCUGGGAAACUGCCUGAUGGAGGGGGAUAACUACUGGAAACGGUAGCUAAUACCGCAUAACGUCGCAAGACCAAAGUGGGGGACCUUCGGGCCUCAUGCCAUCAGAUGUGCCCAGAUGGGAUUAGCUGGUAGGUGGGGUAACGGCUCACCUAGGCGACGGUCCCUAGCUGGUCUGAGAGGAUGACCAGCCACACUGGAACUGAGACACGGUCCAGACUCCUACGGGAGGCAGCAGUGGGGAAUAUUGCACAAUGGGCGCAAGCCUGAUGCAGCCAUGCCGCGUGUGUGAAGAAGGCCUUCGGGUUGUAAAGCACUUUCAGCGGGGAGGAAGGCGUUAAGGUUAAUAACCUUGGCGAUUGACGUUACCCGCAGAAGAAGCACCGGCUAACUCCGUGCCAGCCGCCGCGGUAACAC
rnacentral:rRNA from 1 species